UGGGGAAUAUUGGACAAUGGGCGAAAGCCUGAUCCAGCCAUGCCGCGUGUGUGAAGAAGGUCUUCGGAUUGUAAAGCACUUUAAGGUGGGAGGAAGGGCAGUAAGCGAAUACCUUGCUGUUUUGACGUUACCGACAGAAUAAGCACCGGCUAACUCUGUGCCAACAGCCGCGGUAAUACAGAGGGUGCAAGCGUUAAUCGGAAUGACUGGGCGUAAAGUGCGCGUAGGUGGUUCGUUAAGUUGAAUGUGAAAGCCCCGGGCUCAACCUGGGAACUGCAUCCAAAACUUGAGAGCGAGAGGAAGGCCGAGGGUGGUGGAAUUUCCUGUGUGGCCGUGAGAUGCGUAGGUAUAGGUACGGACACAAGUGGCGAAGGCGACCACCUGGGCUCAUACUGACACUGAGGUGCGAAAGCGUGGGGAGCAAACAGG
rnacentral:rRNA from 1 species